rnacentral:rRNA from 1 species
UACGUAGGGUGCGAGCGUUAAUCGGAAUUACUGGGCGUAAAGCGUGCGCAGGCGGACAUGCAAGACAGAUGUGAAAUCCCCGGGCUCAACCUGGGAACUGCAUAUGUGACUGCAUGACUGGAGUACGGCAGAGGGGGAUGGAAUUCCGCGUGUAGCAGUGAAAUGCGUAGAUAUGCGGAGGAACACCGAUGGCGAAGGCAAUCCCCUGGGCCAGUACUGACGCUCAUGCACGAAAGCGUGGGGAGCAAACAGG